rnacentral:misc_RNA from 1 species
CGGCCUCUUUGCCAUCGGCGCUUUUGCGGCGCUGGACGGCCCACGGAUUGGACCCGCUCGAUCCACCUUCAGUGGGGAAAUAGAUCCAAUCCGCAUCCACGCGGCGCACCGAGCUGAGAAGGUCAUCAGCCAACGCAGUGCCCCAGAGCUGCAUGAGCGAGCUGAGCGCCACGCCACGCUGGCUCAAACCGUCAU